rnacentral:rRNA from 1 species
GUGGGGAAUAUUGGACAAUGGGCGAAAGCCUGAUCCAGCCAUGCCGCGUGUGUGAAGAAGGUCUUCGGAUUGUAAAGCACUUUAAGUUGGGAGGAAGGGCAGUAAGUUAAUACCUUGCUGUUUUGACGUUACCGACAGAAUAAGCACCGGCUAACUUCGUGCCAGCAGCCGCGGUAAUACGAAGGGUGCAAGCGUUAAUCGGAAUUACUGGGCGUAAAGCGCGCGUAGGUGGUUCAGCAUGUUGAAGGUGAAAUCACCGGGCUCAACCUGGGAACUGCCUCCAAAACUACUGAGCUAGAGUACGGUAGAGGGUAGUGGAAUUUCCUGUGUAGCGGUGAAAUGCGUAGAUAUAGGAAGGAACACCAGUGGCGAAGGCGACUACCUGGGCUGAUACUGACACUGAGGUGCGAAAGCGUGGGGAGCAAACAGGAUUAGAAACCCGAGUAGUCC